UGUGCAGAACCUAUACUGAACCUAUACUGAAC
rnacentral:piRNA from 1 species